CGUUUCUUAUAAAAGCGUCCGCCAAAAGUAAAAAAGGAAAUAUUCUAUUCCUCACAGCCUCAUUUUCACCAAGGUCAAAAUGACAUGUGCUUUUUUACUGUGAUUAAUGUCUAUAAUGACAAGUUUUAAAGCAGGUUUCUUGAAUAGAUCCCACACCCUGUCUGUCAUUGGUUGGAUAAAUGGAAAGUCCCACCCUAAACUUCCUGAAAAAUUGAGCCAGUAUUGCUGUGUCAUAUUGUUAGUUGUUUUUUCUGCUGCUUUUUUUUUUUUUUUUUUGAAAAUCACUGUGUCAGAAAUCACAUACUCUAGUAGGCACUACAGUUGACGAGGAACAAACUUUGCAACUGAGAAAAAAGUGUGCUAUGUAGUGUGAAUGUAAUCCAGGGGUACUACAUUUGCCAUGUUAGCUUUGUCACAUGACCUAUGGCAUCCAAUUAUAUUGCUUUACUGCCGUUCACAAAUCCUGUCCCUUGGCCUAUGUGGGAUAGUAAAGUGUGCUUUGGAUGCAUACUUCAUUAUCUCACCCAAAGUAGUAGUUCACCUGGGCACUUUUUUCCUAGUUUGUUUUUUAAUACUAUGAAUUUGAACAAAUGGUAUGUCACAGUUUGUGUCCUAAUGCACUAUUCAGUGCCAUUUCGUAGUAUAAACCGUGUUGUUAAUGUGGUCAAACUCCAAUAAUAAGUGAAUGCACAAUAAGUGCACUUCAAAUGCCUGGGUGAUGCACUUAAUUAUUUGAAAAA